rnacentral:lncRNA from 1 species
GCCGAUCCAACAUUAUUAAUGUGUCUGGUUUCAUUAGCUUGACUGAGUGGGAUAUAAUCUACCUGACGAAAGACAGGCAACCUUUCUUGAUCAUCUAUCACAAUUCCAAUUUUACAAUUAGUAUGACAUGUUAGGUAAGAUCUUGCCUGAAUUAAAUAUAAAAUGACGUUUUAACUUUGCUGCAUUAUUAGCGCAUAAUUUCGUUACAGUAUCAUCCAAUCAUGCAUUGCUAUGUCACUAAGUUUGAUUCUUACAACAAUCAUCUAAAAAAGUCAUCCUCUUUUAGUGACAUGGAAAUGCAUGAUUGAGUGAUAGAAGGGAAACCUGUAACCAAUUUAUUUUACAUCGACAGUACAUUAAAAUAAAAUAGAAGAAAUUUACCUUUGAGUGGUAGAGAACAGUUAGAACCUACGAGUUGAGUUUUAAUCUUCUGAGAAACAGGGCAUUGCAGCUCAAGAAAAGAGUGGAGAUCAGAAUUUGCUUCGCUAUUGAAUGCUAUAAACAUUACAAUGAGUGACAAUGUUAAAAUAGAUACACAGAAAAAGUGAACGAAGAAUAAAAGCAUAAAAAGGUUAUUCAAAAUGUUCUC